AUGAAAUAUUAUAGAUGUGUGGCUGGUUGUAGCCACAGGAUCUCCAGCUGCAGGGUGAGCAACCUGGAGAGACUGACAGCUCAGGUCUGUGAAAUACCUGCAGCUGCCACUUGCCUUUCCUAGUGCA